rnacentral:rRNA from 1 species
GAUUGAACGCUGGCGGCAGGCCUAACACAUGCAAGUCGAGCGGUAGCACAGAGAGCUUGCUCUCGGGUGACGAGCGGCGGACGGGUGAGUAAUGUCUGGGAAACUGCCUGAUGGAGGGGGAUAACUACUGGAAACGGUAGCUAAUACCGCAUAACGUCGCAAGACCAAAGUGGGGGACCUUCGGGCCUCAUGCCAUCAGAUGUGCCCAGAUGGGAUUAGCUAGUAGGUGGGGUAACGGCUCACCUAGGCGACGAUCCCUAGCUGGUCUGAGAGGAUGACCAGCCACACUGGAACUGAGACACGGUCCAGACUCCUACGGGAGGCAGCAGUGGGGAAUAUUGCACAAUGGGCGCAAGCCUGAUGCAGCCAUGCCGCGUGUAUGAAGAAGGCCUUCGGGUUGUAAAGUACUUUCAGCGGGGAGGAAGGCGAUAAGGUUAAUAACCUUGUCGAUUGACGUUACCCGCAGAAGAAGCACCGGCUAACUCCGUGCCAGCAGCCGCGGUAAUACGGAGGGUGCAAGCGUUAAUCGGAAUUACUGGGCGUAAAGCGCACGCAGGCGGUCUGUCAAGUCGGAUGUGAAAUCCCCGGGCUCAACCUGGGAACUGCAUUCGAAACUGGCAGGCUAGAGUCUUGUAGAGGGGGGUAGAAUUCCAGGUGUAGCGGUGAAAUGCGUAGAGAUCUGGAGGAAUACCGGUGGCGAAGGCGGCCCCCUGGACAAAGACUGACGCUCAGGUGCGAAAGCGUGGGGAGCAAACAGGAUUAGAUACCCUGGUAGUCCACGCCGUAAACGAUGUCGAUUUGGAGGUUGUGCCCUUGAGGCGUGGCUUCCGGAGCUAACGCGUUAAAUCGACCGCCUGGGGAGUACGGCCGCAAGGUUAAAACUCAAAUGAAUUGACGGGGGCCCGCACAAGCGGUGGAGCAUGUGGUUUAAUUCGAUGCAACGCGAAGAACCUUACCUGGUCUUGACAUCCACAGAACUUACCAGAGAUGCUUUGGUGCCUUCGGGAACUGUGAGACAGGUGCUG